rnacentral:rRNA from 1 species
UACAGGGGGGGCAAGCGUUGUUCGGAAUUACUGGGCGUAAAGGGCCCGUAGGCGGCCAACUAAGUCCGACGUGAAAUCCCCGGGCUUAACCUGGGAACUGCGUUUCUAACUGGCAGGCUUGAGUGUGGCAGAGGGGGGUGGAAUUCCACGUGUAGCAGUGAAAUGCGUAGAGAUGUGGAGGAACACCGAUGGCGAAGGCAGCCCCCUGGGCUAACACUGACGCUCAUGCACGAAAGCGUGGGGAGCAAACAGG